GACAGAGGGUGCAAACGUUGUUCGGAAUUACUGGGCGUAAAGAGCGCGCAGGCGGUCGUACAAGUCGCGUGUGAAAGCCCCCGGCUCAACUGGGGAGGGUCACGCGAUACUGUUCGACUCGAAGGCAGGAGAGGGAAGUGGAAUUCCCGGUGUAGUGGUGAAAUGCGUAGAUAUCGGGAGGAACACCAGUGGCGAAGGCGACUUCCUGGCCUGUUCUUGACGCUGAGGCGCGAAAGCUAGGGUAGCAAACGGG
rnacentral:rRNA from 1 species